ACAUCCAGAGAAUUUAGCAGAGAUGCUUUAGUGCCUUCGGGAACUCUGAGACAGGUGCUGCAUGGCUGUCGUCAGCUCGUGUUGUGAAAUGGUGGGUUAAGUCCCGCAACGAGCGCAACCCUUAUCCUUUGUUGCCAGCACGUAAUGGUGGGAACUCAAAGGAGACUGCCGGUGAUAAACCGGAGGAAGGUGGGGAUGACGUCAAGUCAUCAUGGCCCUUACGAGUAGGGCUACACACGUGCUACAAUGGCGCAUACAAAGAGAAGCGACCUCGCGAGAGCAAGCGGACCUCAUAAAGUGCGUCGUAGUCCGGAUUGGAGUCUGCAACUCGACUCCAUGAAGUCGGAAUCGCUAGUAAUCGUAAAUCAGAAUGUUACGGUGAAUACGUUCCCGGGCCUUGUACACACCGCCCGUCACACCAUGGGAGUGGGUUGCAAAAGAAGUAGAUAGCUUAACCUUCGGGAGGGCGUUUACCACUUUGUGAUUCAUGACUGGGGUGAAGUCGUAACAAGGUAGGCGUAGUGCU
rnacentral:rRNA from 1 species